UCUCGCGUCAGGAUAUGCCUAGGUGGGAUUAGCUAGUUGUGAGGUAAUGGCUCACCAAGGCGACGAUCCCUAGCUGGUCUGAGAGGAUGAUCAGCCACACUGGAACUGAGACACGGUCCAGACUCCUACGGGAGGCAGCAUGGGGAAUAUUGCACAAUGGGCGCAAGCCUGAUGCAGCCAUGCCGCGUGUGUGAAGAAGGCCUUCGGGUUGUAAAGCACUUUCAGUCGUGAGGAAGGUGGUAUUGUUAAUAGCACUAUCAUUUGACGUUAGCGACAGAAGAAGCACCGGCUAACUCCGUGCCAGCAGCCGCGGUAAUACGGAGGGUGCGAGCGUUAAUCGGAAUUACUGGGCGUAAAGCGCAUGCAGGUGGUUUGUUAAGUCAGAUGUGAAAGCCCGGGGCUCAACCUCGGAAUAGCAUUUGAAACUGGCAGACUAGAGUACUGUAGAGGGGGGUAGAAUUUCA
rnacentral:rRNA from 1 species